rnacentral:rRNA from 1 species
UACGUAGGGGGCAAGCGUUGUCCGGAAUUAUUGGCGUAAAGGAGCGUGUAGGCGGCCAGAUAAGUCCGCUGUGAAAUCGUCGAGGCUCAACUUCGAGCUGUCGGUGGAAACUAUCUGGCUAGAGUCCGGAAGAGGAGAUGGAAUUCCUGGUGUAGCGGUGAAAUGCGCAGAUAUCAGGAGAACACCGGUGGCGAAGGCGGUCC